GGCCCAUUUGUUGUGUAGGUGCUUGAUGAGAUUGGUGUAGGCAUCGGUUCACAGUUAUCUUCUGCACCAAAAGGUCGACUCGGACCCAAGAAGGUUGACAAUACUGUCUCCAGGUAUGUCAAUUAGUAGCUAUAAUGAUCAACCAAAACCAGUUCUUCUUCUUCUUCUUCUUUACUGCAUAUGAAAAAAAAAAAAGAA